rnacentral:misc_RNA from 1 species
GAUGAAGAACGCAGCGAAAUGCGAUAAGUAGUGUGAAUUGCAGAAUUCAGUGAAUCAUCGAAUCUUUGAACGCACAUUGCGCCCCUUGGUAUUCCAUGGGGCAUGCCUGUUCGAGCGUCAUUUGUACCUUCAAGCUCUGCUUGGUGUUGGGUGUUUGUCUCGCCUCUGCGUGUAGACUCGCCUCAAAACAAUUGGCAGCCGGCGUAUUGAUUUCGGAGCGCAGUACAUCUCGCGCUUUGCACUCAUAACGACGACGUCCAAAAGUACAUUUUUACACUCUUGACCUCGGAUCAGGUAGGGAUACCCGCUGAACUUAAGCAUAUCAAUAAGCGGAGUA